AUCUGCUUUGAGAUCCGCGCUGUGACCCUUGAGAGAGGAGUUGUGCCCCUUUGUGGUCCUGAGAUCGAAGGCGGCGUUGCAAGCUCCAGCGAUCGAAGAGACUGUGAGAGAGGAAGGGGAUGAGAAGCACGGUGGGGGACGUGGCCUACAAGGCAUUGACGGCAGCGCUGGGCGCCGCCACUCUCUACCUGGGGGCAACCUUCUCCGUCAACCUCUACCGUGGCAUCUCUUGGCACUCCGCUCAAUCCGCCAAGUUGGAGAAGGAAAAAUCUGAAGAAUGAAUCAGAUCCGUCUUGUAUAUUUUGAAUAUUUUGAAAGGUAUGGGCGUCAGAUGUGACUGGCUAUCCGGAGUUGAGGUGAUGUUUACAUGAGGCAAACUUGCAGCAUGUUGUACUUCAGGAAUAAGGAUCGAUGAUUUGUGCUUGGAUAUGGUUUUGUAAUUCUUAUCUUAAUUUCUAGUUAGAAGAACUUGAAAAAAAGUGAGGAAUUUGAUCCAAAAGGGGAAGCAUAAGCCUUUACUUGGAAAAACCAAGAGCCCUUUCCCUGUGGAUAAUUGCAUGUUCUCUUGGCUGGCAGAUGUCCUUGUAACUAGAUAAGAACAAGAGAUCCUGUCAGCCACAGCAUUCAAAUGAUUCA